ACGUAGGGGGCGAGCGUUGUCCGGAAUUACUGGGCGUAAAGGGUGCGUAGGUGGCCUUUUAAGUUGGAUGUGAAAUACCCGGGCUUAACUUGGGGGGUGCAUCUAAUACUGGAGGGCUAGAGUGCAGGAGAGGGAAGCGGAAUUCCUAGUGUAGCGGUGAAAUGCGUAGAUAUUAGGAGGAACACCAGUGGCGAAGGCGGCUUUCUGGACUGUAACUGACACUGAGGCACGAAAGCGUGGGGAGCAAACAGGAUUAGAUACCCUGGUAGUCCACGCUGUAAACGAUGAAUACUAGGUGUAGGGGGUAUCAACUCCCCCUGUGCCGGAGCUAACGCAAUAAGUAUUCCGCCUGGGGAGUACGGCCGCAAGGUUG
rnacentral:rRNA from 1 species